CAUAAUCCAAACUCAACACUUCCCCCCAACCAAGUUUAAGUGGAUCUCCAAAUUUUUUUCCGUAUUUUCUAAACGUUCUUUUUUUUUUGUAUCAUAAUAAUGCAGCGAUUUCUGACGUUCAUUAUUGGAGGCAUUUGCGGCUACCUUAUUGCGAAACACCGCUAAGCCCCAGCUGCCUUCAAAGGAGUUCUUUUUGCUGCUCAAUUGACAUAACUUUGGAUGCCAGACCGCCUUAACGUUUAAUUUCUACGUUUCGGUUUUUAACUUUUCAACAUCAAAAUAAGCAUGGACUUCUUUCUAGCGCAUAUUUAAGAAUCAUUGCACUAGUUCAACGGGGGAAUAUAAAAUCAAGCAAAUCAAAUCUGUGGCCGCAUCGGAACCUUCAUAUUAAUAUUUCAACAAUUAUAACAUCUACUCCGCAUUUGACAAAAUGACACAUCUGCUAUCAUUUGGCGCAGGCGUAUUUCUUGGCCUGGCGUUGUGUCGCAGAUGUAACCCGUGAUCGAAAAGGAUUAUUAAAUUUCGAAAUCUGAAAUGAAGUUCCAUUUAUUCGCCACGAAAUAAACUAACUGCAAUUUGUUAAAGUAAGGGUUUUUCUCACAGGAGACACAUUGUGAGGUAUGAAGUGCCUCCUGCGGCAUUCAUUGGGAGACAACUCACUUGAUCCCCUAAAGUAUUUGACUGUAAAUAACCCUCAUUGUAAAUACCAUACAAACUACAAUACAUUGUAACUACGCCCUGC